UGACAACUGACCUCAAAUCAGGUAGGA
rnacentral:rRNA from 1 species